GACGAACGCUGGCGGCGUGCCUAAUACAUGCAAGUAGAACGCUGAAGGAGGAGCUUACUUCUCUGGAUGAGUUGCGAACGGGUGAGUAACGCGUAGGUAACCUGCCUGGUAGCGGGGGAUAACUAUUGGAAACGAUAGCUAAUACCGCAUAAGAGUAGAUGUUGCAUGACAUUUACUUAAAAGGUGCAAUUGCACCACUACCAGAUGGACAUGCGUUGUAUUAGCUAGUUGGUGGGGUAACGGCUUACCAAGGCGACGAUACAUAGCCGACCCGGGAGGGUGAUCGGCCACACUGGGACUGAGACACGGCCCAGACUCCUACGGGAGGCAGCAGUAGGGAAUCUUCGGCAAUGGACGGAAGUCUGACCGAGCAACGCCGCGUGAGUGAAGAAGGUUUUCGGAUCGUAAAGCUCCGUUGUAAGGGAAGAACGAGUGUGAGAGUGGAAAGUUCACACUGUGACGGUAUCUUACCAGAAAGGGACGGCUAACUACGUGCCAGCAGCCGCCGUAA
rnacentral:rRNA from 1 species